CAUAGUGACUCACACCUGUAAUACUAGCACUGUGGGAGGCUGACGUGGGAGGGUCACUUGAGGCCAGGAGUCCAAGACCAGCCUGGGAAACACAGUGAGACUCUCUCUCUACAAAAAAUUUUUAAAAAAUUAGCCAGGUGUGGUAGCAUGUGCUGUGGUCUCACUUACUCAGAAGGCUGAGAUGGGGGGAUUACGUGAGUCUAGGAGUUCAAGACUGCAGUGAGCUAUGAUCGUGCCACUGCACCACAGACCUGCGUGACAGCAACAGCCUGUCCUAAAAAAAAAAAUGAAGUUGACUCUUCCAGAGAGGGAAAAUGAGCAGAGAGGAGGAGGAGAAGAAGGGAAGGGAGGUGUCCAGGCCAUAGGCUUGAUGUACUUUGGAAGAGAGGGAGGUUCCAUGGGUUUGACAGGGAAGGGUCCUAGGUGCCACCAUAAGGCCUUGGAGAUGGUUUUCCAGAGGGGGUGGCUGCACAUUUGGGUUUGAGGAAGCCUAGGACUGGGGACAGGAGAGAGAGGGGAAGUGAUGAGCAUGGCAGGGGGCAGACAGGGCAGUGAGUGAGAGGGGACGGGGCCGGUGGAACAGUGGCUGUGGGGAUAGGCAGAGGUCCAGAGGCUGCUGGUGAGGGCUGGGAAGACAAGGAAAGCCCAGACAGUGAGAGGCACAGGCGGCAGGCCUAUCUCUGGGACACGCUGUCUUCCUGCUCUGGCCUCUGCUCAGCCCUGGAAUCCUUCCUUCCCAGGAUGGCCCCAUCCUGGGGGCUGUGGGGAGCUUCAGCUGGUCUGGAGGUGCUUUCCUGUACCCCUCAAAUAUGAACCCCACCUUCAUCAACAUGUCUCAGGAGAAUGUGGACAUGAGAGACUCUUACUUGGGUUACUCCACCCAGCUGGCCCUGUGGAAGGGGGUACAGAGCCUGGUCCUGGGGGCCCCCCACUACCAGCACACCGGGAAGGCUGUCAUCUUCACCCAGGUGUCCAGGCAAUGGAGGAUGAAGGCCGAGGUCACAGGGACCCAGGUUGGGCGUGGUGGGAGCCAGAGGCGAAGAUGAGGGUGUGGGCGGUGAACGGGGCAGAGGAGAGGAGGGAGGGGCUUUGAGGGCCUUUGGGGAGGUCCUGGUACCUGGGGAGAGGUGGGACCUGGCCCUCAGGGCUGCCUCUGGCGGGGCAGGCAGCAUGACCCAGUCUCUGCCCUCCAGAUAGGCUCCUACUUUGGGG
rnacentral:lncRNA from 1 species